GGUUAAGCGACUAAGCGUACACGGUGGAUGCCCUGGCAGUCAGAGGCGAUGAAGGGCGUGCUAAUCUGCGAUAAGCGCCGGUAAGGUGAUAUGAACCGUUAUAA
rnacentral:rRNA from 1 species